UGUAUAUCGAUUUCAGGAAGCAUUGGCCAAGGAUUUGUCAUCUGUGGACCAAGUUUGAUCUUAUUUUNAUUGUUCAAAUGGCGUUUCUCAAUUUACGAAUUUUUAAAGGUUGUACAUAAUAAAAAACUGUUUAAUGCACAUUACUAAUUCUCGUGUUUGUUUGUCUCAGGAAGUAUUGGAAAAAUAUUGAUCAUAUUAACAUUGAGUCCAGUGCUAUUGCAAGGGCUCUUUUACUGAAGACAACCAAUAC